ensembl:misc_RNA Y_RNA Y RNA
GGCUGGUCCUGUGGUAGUAGGUUAUCAGAACUUAGUCUCAUUAAAGUUGGUAUAUAGCCCCUCACUGCUAAAUUUGGCUUAAA